UAUAAAUUAUUGAUGCAGUAUAUAUAAGGAUACACAGACGUAUACAUGGACAGUCGGAAUACCUAAGCGCUGAAGAUGAAGUUCCUCUUUCUGUUGGUUUCCAUAAUGCUGGUAGUUCUCGCAGCUGCGGGAGCGAUGAGCGCCGGGCGGCCUCUGGGGCAUUCUGCAGGGAUGCAGGGCUCCGCACGCGCCGCAGCCUGCAAGGGCGGGCCUCCGCCACCUCCUCCACCCACCAAUGCAACCGGAUAACAUUUCGCCACCUGCAAACCGAAACCGGCAUGACCAAAGCGACGAUAACGGCAACAACAAUAAUAAUAACAAUAAUCAAUAAAAUAUAUAUCUCUAACCACA